rnacentral:rRNA from 1 species
UACGUAGGGGGCAAGCGUUGUCCGGAAUUAUUGGGCGUAAAGAGCGCGUAGGCGGUCCGGUAAGUCGGUUGUGAAAGUCGGGGGCUCAACCCUCGGAUGCCGAUCGAUACUGUCGGGCUAGAGUCCGGAAGAGGCGAGUGGAAUUCCUGGUGUAGCGGUGAAAUGCGCAGAUAUCAGGAGGAACACCAAUGGCGAAGGCAGCUCGCUGGAACGGUACUGACGCUGAGGCGCGAAAGCGUGGGGAGCGAACAGG